rnacentral:rRNA from 1 species
UAACGAAUAUUGGACAAUGGGCGCAAGCCUGAUCCAGCCAUGCCGCGUGAGUGACGAAGGCCUUAGGGUUGUAAAGCUCUUUUGGCGGGGACGAUAAUGACGGUACCCGCAGAAUAAGCCCCGGCUAACUUCGUGCCUGCAGCCGCGGUAACACGUAGGAGGCAAACGUUAUCCGGAUUUACUGGGCGUAAAGCGCGUGUAGGUGGUUCUGUAAGUAGGGCGUGAAAGCUCCUGGCUCAACUGGGAGAGGCCGUUCUAAACUGCAGAGCUAGAGGAUGGUAGAGGGAGGUGGAAUUCCGGGUGUAGCGGUGGAAUGCGCAGAUAUCCGGAGGAACACUAGUGGCGAAAGCGGCCUCCUGGACCAUUCCUGACACUCAGACGCGAAAGCUAGGGUAGCAAACG